AACGAACGCUGGCGGCAUGCCUAACACAUGCAAGUCGAACGAGACCUUCGGGUCUAGUGGCGCACGGGUGCGUAACGCGUGGGAACCUGCCCUUAGGUUCGGAAUAACUCCCCGAAAGGGGUGCUAAUACCGGAUAAUGUCUUCGGACCAAAGAUUUAUCGCCUUUGGAUGGGCCCGCGUUGGAUUAGCUAGUUGGUAGGGUAAAAGCCUACCAAGGCGACGAUCCAUAGCUGGUCUGAGAGGAUGAUCAGCCACGCUGGGACUGAGACACGGCCCAGACUCCUACGGGAGGCAGCAGUGGGGAAUAUUGGACAAUGGGCGAAAGCCUGAUCCAGCAAUGCCGCGUGAGUGAUGAAGGCCUUAGGGUUGUAAAGCUCGUUUACCCGGGAUGAUAAUGACAGUACCGGGAGAAUAAGCUCCGGCUAACUCCGUG
rnacentral:rRNA from 1 species